UAAUUAUCAAACUAUAGUUAUGGAGUGUAAAGGCAAAGGGCCCAAUAUACCCUUUAAUUUUACCAUUUAGGCUCAUAUAUAUAUAUAUAUAUAUAUAUAUAUAUAUAGAGAGAGAGAGAGAGAGAGAGAGAGAAAGAGAGAGAAGUCACUCUUGUAACGAAGAUGUAUCAGCUCUAAAUGACAAAUCAAGGAAAAAUAUUUGAGAAGGUGUAGUAAAAUAUUCCUUCCAAUUUAACUUAUUUGUCUUACUUUUCCUUUUUAAUCCGUUUCAAAAAAAAUAUUUUCAUAGUUCUAAAAUUUUCUCAUUACAAGUUUAAAGUCACCAAAAUAAAAUGACAUUUUAAUACCUACUACAUAUCUUUUUAUUCUAGAUCCCAAAAACUAAAUAAAAAAUAUUUUCUUAAAACUCUUCUCAUAUUUGUUUUAUGUCAUUCAAGUGGUACAAAAGAUAAUCUUUUUGACUUUUCAAUGUUGAAUUACUAAUAAGAAGUCGCUUUCAUCCAUAUAAACAAGUUAUUUAUAAUACAAAAAUAUAUAUUUUAAUGUAAUUUUAUUUUAUACUUAUACUCUUCAACUUUACGUGUAUAUAAAACGACAAUUAAAUAUGUAUUAAAUUAAACAAAUUACAUCCUAUAUAACAAUACAUAUCUUACGUUUUGUCUUACAUAUAUUAUCCAACAUAGGAUUCAUGUGUAUACCUGUUCAACUCUAUAAUGUCUAUUAGUGUCUCAAAAAUUAAAUAAUAUAAAUAUAAUAUGACAUUAAAUUAAAAACAGGCAUUAUGCCAAAAAAUAUUUUUUUAAAAAAAAAAAGUUAGUAAAAAGAUAGAUACAGCUAACCAUGGGAAUCUUGUCCUUAAAUAAUAUACAUUGAGGCUCACAUAACAUCAAAUUAACUAAAAGAUCCAAUAAUCUUACCUAAUAACAAAAACUAUAUUUAUUUAUUUAUUUAUUUUUUUUAAAAAAGAAAAGACAAAGAUGCAAAGAAAAAAUCAAUGCACAAAACACAAAUUAUAUCACAACAUAAAAGUCAUCAAUUGGACCAAGUCUAAUACCAUCAAAGUCAUCAUCUACAAUAUAUCAAUCAACACCAAUUUUCUAACACUAAUUAAUGUCACAAUUAAAAAUAAAAAUAAAAACAUACCAGAAAACCGCUCUUAGAUACCGGUUUAUUAGAACCAGGGGCGGAUCUAGCCUUGAUUUAGAUUCUACGUUAAAUAAUACAUAUUUCAACCCUAAUACAUUAAUCAGAACUCGAUCUGUAUAGUUCGAAUUCUGAAUCCAUUUCUGAUUACGAAAUCGUUAAUCCAAGAAUAUCAGCAGCAGAUUUCCCCAUAAUAUUAGCAAACUCAUUAAAACUUAUAACACCAUCACCAUUAGUAUCAGCUUCUUGCAUCAUAUCAGAUAAUUCUUUAUACGUUAACGGGCGACCCAUUUUAGCCAUUGACCCGGCCAGCUCAGCAGCCGUUAUAUAACCGUUACCGUCUCGAUCGAACGAUCGAAAAACCUCCAUUAAUUGUUCUUGAUUUAUUAAAAUUUCCGCAUUUAUAUCAGGCAUUAUAGCAUUUACGAGUUCAUCGAAUUCGAUGAACCCGUUGCCAUUAUUAUCCAUGUUGGCUAAUAAUGUAUGGAUUUGAUCGCCCGUUGGUUUGAGCCCUAGGGCACGAAGAAGCGCGGCUAACUCUAGUUGUGUGAGGCUUCCAUCAUGAUCAAGAUCGAAUCGUCCAAAUAUUUCUUUGAGUUGUUUGAGUUGUUCAUCGGAUUGAAUGCUUACCAUUCUACGAACGUUUAUAUUAUUAUUGAGCUCGUAAUGGUACCUCAAGAAUAUAGAAGGGAGAAAUGAAAGAAGUUUGAGAUGUGUUUUUGUUUUUUGUUGGGAUUUAAUGAUGUAAUGAGAAACCGUGUGAGGGAAUAGAGAGGAAAAUUCUUAGGUAUAUUAUUUUAUUUAAGGUGAUAUAAAAAGAUUGUGAAUUAUUAUUGGUUUGACAUAAAUAUAGUAAAAUUUUGUUGAAACUCUUAAAAUAUAUAUAACUAGUUUUGGAUAAGAACAAAUUUUCUUAUAUAUAUAGACAUUACUUUUUUUCUUUUCUAUAUAUAUAGAUUUACUUGUUUAUUUUUAUUUGUAUUUUAUUUUCUGAAUAACAGAAAUACUGUAUUUAUUGUACUUUAUUAUGGGUGUUAGUGCCACCGAAAGUGACCAGACAGUUUGUCAUUCAAUGAAUGGUUGGUGAAGCCAUUAAUGGAAAUCCAAAAAUAAAAUUAAAAAAAGAGAAUGAAUGGAAAAAGGGUGAAAAUUUAUGUGUUUAAUGAAUCAAACUAAUAUUGCUUGUAUGUUUAUUACGUUUUUUUUAAGAUUAUUUUUGUUUUGAGUUGAAGAUAUAUAUAUAUAUAUAUAAUCAUAUUUAACGUAGAAGUAAAAUUUAUAUAUAUUUUACUCGUCCAGACUUUAUUUGUGAAAAUUUUAUCUUUUUCUUAAUUUAUCAAAAUUAAUGAGUAACAAAGAAAAAUUGAACAAGUUAUUAGAAACAACGAAAAUAAUAUGUAAAGUAAAAGUAAUACUUAUUUAUCAUAAUCAAACUAAAAAAAUACUUUGUAUUCAAACACAUUACAUAUUGAUUUGAUGCCAAGUGAUCGACUUUAAGCACAGUACUCGUGUCAAUAUUCCAAUUUUGAAUCAAGUUGAUUGAAAAAAUACAGACUUCUCUACGGAAAACUAGAAUUUCGAUAUGAUAGUGAAUUGCCUGUGAUUCAAACCCGGAACUAGUCGGAUGGAAUAGAUAAGUUCCUUGUCAAAUAAAAUCCGCUUGAAAAAGAAUAAAUUGAAACCAAUUCGAAACUGUAUCAAAGCAAUGAUAUCUCGAAAUGUAUAGAGCCUAACAUUUACGGAAGAAGUCUUCAUUUUUCCACCAUAUUUUUUUAAUGUACUACUGAAAAAAUGUAUCAGUGUAAAUCGAUCCAUUAAUAUAAAGCGAAUCGAUAUAUCUCAAAGGCGAACAAAUACAAAGCAAAACUCAAAAGAUCAUUAUGUAUUGUACUACAUGACAUAUAUUUGCUCGAGAAGGGGACAUGUUAACCACUAUAUCGUUCUAAUUUUAUCAGAUGUCCGCGGAGUAACUGGAGAACCUGUACAUUUCAUCAAGAAUUGCAUUGUGACCUUGAACAAGAAAGAAAAUGAAUGAACUCUUCAUCAGUUGUAUCAGUUACUUACAGAAAAAAUUGCUGUCAAAUUGCAGAUACUACAUGUAGUAUGUCAAGCUAAAAAGAGACCUACUUCACAAAACUUACCUCUCAGCUAAAGCAGCCUUUGAUGUAUUAACAGAUGUUCACCUAAACAUGCUCAGACAACUCUCUACUAUAGUUGGUGCUUUGACUCGAAAAAUCUGAAUUAACAUCUUGACUAGGAAAUGCCAUCCUUCGAAAGAGUCUUAUUUGUGCAGAUUGCUCAGCAGAGUUAUAUAUUGCACUUUCACCAACUUUCAUUCCGUUUGUCAAAUCAGACAUUAGCAUACUAUCAAAAGCUCUCAUGAUCUGUGCAAGCAUAAGCAUGACGAGAAUGUAAUUGCCCUUCUGUUAAGGAAGAUUUGAGGUAGUUUGUGGAUUAGUUUUCAAGUAAAGUAAAUGAAUUUUUACCUGUCCCAUCCCUGGUCUCUUUGCAGCUGAGUGACGCACACAAGCUGCAGCUAUCUCAAUCAUUUGAAACAUCUCACUGUCAAUGUAAUUAGUCCCAAGGCGAGGAUCUGUCAACUGAUCAAAUUCCUCUUUUUCAAGUGCAUUACCAAGCAAAGGUCGAGCCUGGAAGUAAUCAAAUUAAAUCACAGUUAGUGGAUCCUGCUCGACAAAAUGAGAAGGGAUAUAAGAUCUCUGCUGCUACUGUUAUUGGUUUUUGGUUCUGCAAUGAAUAAUUAAAUGGUAGUUGAGUUUCAAGUUUAGACUUGUCUUAGGAUCUAUGGUUUUGAUAUCAUGAGCAAGCUGCAACAAAAUCUAAGCAGACAACUUUUGUGGUGUUGCUUUAGUUGUUGCAAAAGCAACCUAACCUCAAUGUUUCAGGUGCUAAUAUUGAUAUUACAGGACUGACUACAUAAUUCUCAAUACUACCUGAAACCAAAUCAAACCGUUGUAUGAUCGUGUCGCAAAAUAGUGUAUAAGAAACGAAGACAGAAUCCUACAAGGAAUCAAUGGAAAAAUAGUCUGCAAUGGAAAUACUCAAAUAUCAAGUUCAUUUGAUACGCUCAGCACUGAAAUAUCAGGUCCAGUUAGACUUCUAUUUUUCUGACAGAUUCAGCUAUGCUGCUAAGUGCAACCGAUAUGUUGAAUAUAGACACCUAAGGGAAUGAGAGAAGAGGGUUAUCCCCAAAUAUAUCCCGUGUCAGUUCUAUAAGACAAGGAAGACGCAUUAUUCCCUCCGAAUUUGCAAGAAUAGCUGAAAGACCAUAGAAGAUAAGGUAAACUUUGGGCCUUUUCCUUGUAAGAAUGAAGAAAUAAAAGCUUGAAGCUUUAGUAGAUCGUAUAUAACAUGAUAUGAGCUUCAAACUGUCCAUGCUAUGUUUUUUAAUAUUUAAAGUUCGGAUCAACCUCACAGAGCCUAGCUCAUUCUCUCUUGAGUCUUGAAAAAACCCACAACCCCUUGGGGUUAUCCUAAACUUGGAAGAAGAAGUAGAAAAAGAAAAUUACUUUUCUAACUUAAUUACUUUAAGGACUGCAACAUAGUAAACUAGUAUAUCCAUUUGGUUGCUCUAAUAGAUUGAAAGCAUAUUGUUAAAAAAAAAUUAACAACACGACUUACAUGCUCUUUUAGUGUCAUAGGUUGUUGGUGUUAAUGCAUUUUAAUAUCAAAAUUAAAAGGUCAAAGUCAUCUGCGGCCCCUUAAAGUUGUCCUCAUUAUUCAUUUAGACACCUCAACUAGACCUAGUACCUAUUGAACACCUCUACCACCCUAGAUUUGAACCGUCUAAGCAUUUUUUUUAUCAUUUUUCAUAAAGGGCGCGUGUGUUUAAGCUCCCCAUAUAUAUAGAAUGACCAUUUAACAACUAUCACGUGUAUCCGACGUGCAUUUGUAAAUAUCUUAAUUAGGAAAAAUUCUUAAAUCAUUUAACUUUGACACAACUUAUCUCUCUUCGUGAUUUCUUCCAAAUUGAAGCUCUCCAUCUUCCCGAUUUAAUUUGGAUUUGUCGUGUUCGUGUUACGAUCUUGAAGAUUUCCUUGUGUGUGUAAGGAUUCUCAAUGUUUUUUUUUACAUGUUUUGUAAAAUGAAUUCCAAAAGGCUAGGGUUUUGUAAAAAUAUAGGGCUUGUGACUUUUGCGAAUAUUUUGUCCCUUCUUUACUAUUUCCCAGAAAAUAUGCUUUAAAGCUUUGUUUUUAAGUUGUUGUAUGGGUUAUAUGAGUAUAUUUUGUUAUUUUUAAGUUAGGGUUUGUUUGAUAUUUUGUAGGGCUACCUAACAAUUGACAAUGGAGGAGCUUAUAUUUACAAAGAUUUACCAUGGUAGAAUCUUAUCCGAGAUAUAUGUCCCUACUUGUGUUGAAAAUUGUGUCUGCACUCAGGUAUAUUAUUAAGGACCACUUUCCCAUUUUGGAACUAUUGUAUUAUACUAUAGAAUUGGGGUAUGAAACUGUGGAGGCUUUUAUGUCAAGGAUUUAUUGAAUAAACAAUGGAUCCUAAUUACAACUGACCAACAUCUAAUUAAAAACUUAAAACAUGAUGACACUUUUAAAAUAUUUGUAUGUCAUGUAUUAGAUGAACCCUUACUUGACACUGAGGGACCUAGAGGCUAUCUAACUAAUGUUGGUGGUGAAGGUGUUGACCUUGACCUUGGUGAAGAGGGUGAGGCUGUUAACUGAGGUGGAGAAGGUGAGGAUGUUGACCUAGGUGGAGAAGGUGAGGUUGUUAGGCUGUUAACCUUGGUGGUGAGGGUGCUGAUGUUAACAUUGGUGAAGAGGGUGGGGAUGAGGUCUGUUUGCAACAAAUUUUAAAUAUAUAAAAAAUAAACAAACCAUACAAAUAAAAUAUGAAGAAACGUGAUUUUAUUCAUCAAGAUUGUGAGUACAAAACUCUCUCCCUUGAUUCUACUCUCUAAGAUAAUUUAUCCAUGAUUCGAGGCCUGUUAGUGGCGUAUUUCUCGAAUUAGGAUGAUUUAGAUUUGACCUCUCUAUAUGAGAUCUUGAUCUCUUUGUGGAUUUUUCGAGAUGCCUUUUAAGGAAAUUUAGUACCCUUUAUAUUGGCAUAAACUAGGGUUUAGGGUUGAGUAACCACCAAGAAUCCUUAUCUGAGUUCAACACAAUUUGUAGAGUCCCAACUCCAAUUGAACGCAUCUUGUAGAGCCCUACAAAAUUUCAAUGUCUACAAAUGCCCCCUGCUUCAAGGCUUGACGGAAUGUAGACUUGUGAAACUCAAAGACGAGGCUUGAAGUACUCAUUAUUCCACCUUUGCAGCUUUAGAUUUUCAUAUUUAAUUUAAGAGAGAAGAGAUGAAGGGCAGAUUUGGUCCCACUGGGCGUGCCAAUUUGUUUGCAACAAAUUUUAAACAUAUGGAAAAUAAACAAACCAUACAAAUAAAAUAUGAAGAAACGUGAUUUUAUUCAUCAAGAUUGUGAGUACAAAUCUGUUCCUCCCUUGAUUCUACUCUCUAAGAUAAUUUAUCCAUGAUUCGAGGGCCGUUAGUGGCGUAUUUCUCGAAUUAGGAUGAUUUAGAUUUGACCUCUCUAUAUGAGAUCUUGAUCUCUUUGUGGAUUUUUCGAGAUGCCUUUUAAGGGAAUUUAGUACCCUUUAUAUAGGCAUAAACUAGGGUUUAGGGUUGAGUAGCCUCCAAGAAUCCUUAUCUGAGUUGAACACAAUUUGUAGAGUCCCAACUCGAAUUGAACGCAUCUUGUAGAGUCCUACAAAAUUUCAAUGUCUACAAGGUCGUUAACCUAGGUGGAGAGGGUGAAUCUGAUUUCUUGAGUAGUGAUUCAGACCUAGAUAUACCUUCAGAAGGUGGUUUAGAUAUUGAUGAAGAGUUGAGAGCUUUUAGACAAGAAAGAAGAAACAAAAAAUAGAGAAAGGCUAUUGAAUAUGAAGAAAUACCAGUUAGAGGUUUAGAUAGAGGCUUUGAGGAUAUUGAAAAAAAUAAAACUGAUAAAUAUGAAGGAAAAUUGGGUGGAGAUGAGAAUUAUAUUGAUAGCUCUGACUGUUGGAUUGAUGAACAACUAGAUGUGGAUAUGUUAGGGGAGUAGAUAUAACUGCUAGAAGGAGAAGCAAAAAGUUAGGUAUGACGAAGAUUGUGAAGUGUCAAUAUUUGAGCUUGGAAUGGUCUUUGAGGGGCAAAUCAGUUCAGGAAAGCAGUGGCAGAUUAUGCUGUAGAGUACAGGAGGCAGAUAAAGUUAAGAUCUAAUGACAAACAUAGAGUGAGGAUAAAGUGCAAAAAUCCUACCGUAAGUGGUUGCCAUUGACAGGGACUCAUGUGAUUUCUUAAGAAUUAUAUGACAACCAAUUUUUGCACUUUACCCCCACUCUAUGUUUUUCAUGAGGUCUUAACUUUAUUUGUCUCUUCUACUCUACAACAUAAUUUGCCACUGCUUUCCUAAACUGAUUUGCAUCCUCAAAGAUUAUUCCAAACUCAAAUUUUGACACUUACAAUCUUCAUCAUACCUAACUUUUUUAUUUUUUCUUCUAGCAGGUAUAUCUACUCCCCUAACAGCAUCCACAUCUAGUUUUCAUCACUAUCAUCACUCCAACCGUCAGAGCUAUCAAUAUAAUCCUCAUCUCCACCCAAUUUUCUUGCAUAUUUGUCAAUCUUAUUUUUCCCAAUAUGCUCAAAGCCUCUAUCUAUACCACCAGCCUCUCCAACUGGUAUUUCUUCAUAUUCCGUGUUCUCUGUAUUUUGUUUCUUCUUUCUUGUCUAAAAGCUCUCAACUCCUCAUCAAUAUCUGAACCAUCUUCUGAAAGUAUAUUUAAAUCUGAAUCACUAUUCAAGAAAUCAGAUUCACCCUCUUCACCUAGGUGAAGAUCCUCAUCCUCACCCUCUUCACCAAUGUUAACAUCAACACCCUCACCACCAAGGUUAACAACCUCACCCUCACCACCAAGGUUAACAACCUCAAACUCUCCACCUAGGUCAACAACCUCACCUUCUCCACCUAGGUUAACAUCCUCAUCCUCUCUACCAAAGUUAACAGUCUCACCCUGUUCACCAAGGUCAACAUCAACACCUUUACCACCAAUAUUAGUUAGAUAGCCACUAAGUCCCUCAGUGUCAAGUAAGGGUUCAUCUAAUAUAUGACAGACAACUACUUCAAAAGUGUCCUAAUGUUUUAAAUCUUUAAAUAGAUGUUGGUCAGUUGUAAUUAGGACCCCUUGUUUAUUCAAUAAAUCCUUGACAUAAAAGCCUCCAACAGUUUCAUACCCCAAUUCCUUAGUAUAGUUUCAUACCCCAAUUCCUUAGUAUAAUAUAGUAGUUCCAAAAUGGAAAAGUGGUCCUUAAUAAUGUACAUGUGUGUUUCCAACAUAAGUAGGGAUAUAUAUCUUGAAUAACAUUCCACCAUGUUAAAUCUUUGUAAAUAUAAUCUCCUUCAUGGUCAGUUGUUAGGUAGCCCUACAAAAUAUCAAACAAACUCUAGCUAAAGAUAACGGAAUAUACUCAUAUAACCCAUACAACAACUAACCAAAAAAAAAGAUUUAAAGAAUAUUUUCUGGUUAAUAGUAAAGAAGGGACAGAGUAUUUGCAAAAAUCAAACCCUAUGUUUUUACAAAACUCUAGCUUUUGGAAUUCAUUUUAUAAAACAUGUGAAAAAACAUUAUCAAUCCUAACUUACACAAGGAAAUCUUCAAGCUUGUAACACGUUCAUGACGAAUACAACUUCAAUCUGGAGGAAAUCGCGAAGAUGGAGAGCUUCAAUUUGGAAGAAAUCGCGAAGAGAGAGAGUGAAGUUUUGUCAAAGUUAACGACUUAAGAAUUUUCCCAAAUUAAGACAUUUACAAAUACACGUCGGAUACACGUGAUAGUUGUUAAAUGGUCAUUCUAUAAACAUGGGAGCUUAAAUACACGCACCACACAAUUUAUGAAAAAUGAUAAAAGAAAAUGCUUAGAUGGUUCAAAUCUGGGGUGGUAGAGGUGUUCAAUAGGUACUAGGUCUAGUUGAGGUGUCUAAAUGAAUAAUGAGAACAACUUUAAGGGGUCGCAAAUGACUUUGGCAUUGUAAAUAUAAUCUCUUCCAUGGUCGAUUGUUAGGUAGCUACAGAAAUAUCAAACAAACCCUAGCUACAGAUAACGGAACAAUACUCAUAUAACCCAAACAAAAACUAAAAACCAAAGCUUUAAAGCAUAUUUUCUGGGUAAUAGUAAAGAAGGGAUAGAAUAUUGCAAAAAUCACAAACGCUCUAUUUUUACAGAACCCUAGCCUUUUGGAAUUCAUUUAACAAAACAUGUAAAAAAACAUUAUCAAUCCUAACUUACACAAGGAAAUAUUCAAGAUCGUAACACGAACACGAAGAAUCCAACUUCAAUCUGGAGGAAAUCGCGAAGAUAGAGAGCUUCAAUUUGGAAGAAAUCACGAAGAGAGAGAAGUUUUGUCAAAGAUAACAAUUUAGGAAUUUUCCCUAAUUAAGAAAAUUACAAAUACGCGUCGGAUACACGUGGUAGUUGUUAAAUGGUCAUUCUAUACACGUCGAAUACACGUGCGGAGCUUAAAUACACGCACCACACAGUUUAUGAAAAGUGAAAAAAAAAUGCUUUGAUGAACCAAGGGUAGAGGUGUUCAAUAGGUACUAGGUCUAGUUGAGAUGCCUAAAUGAAUAAUGAGGACAACUUUAAGGGGCCACAUAUGACUUUGGCCAAAUAAAAAUAUUAAACCAUCAUAGGCCACAGGCAUUGUCCUCAUAAUAUUUAUCAAGGAAACAAUUCUUAUCACUCAUAAAUUCCAGUUACGAGAUUAAUUCACACAUGUCUAUCAUUUGUCAUAUUAUUUUCCAGAAAAAAGACAUUCUUUUGAUCGAUCAGUCAUCAUAUCUAUCGUGUCCAGGAGCUACACAAAUUACAGAGUCCUUAACCAUCACAAUAUAGUUGAUAGGAAAUAAUUAAAGGAAUGUAUUGAGCAACAGUUACGUCACAUACUCACAUCCACUUUAUCUAAAGAAGCCCACACCAACAUAGAGCUAACUUAGUACAAUUAAUUAAGCAGAAAGUCACAAAUAAUAUGAGUGGAUUUAACAUUCUCCUGAACAAAGACUUUUAACAUUUACAUCUUACACCUUUACUUUUAGUUAAAAGGUUGAUCAUACAAGACUGAAAUGAACCAAUUCAAAGUAUUUCAAAAUAGUACCUAAAUCAAAAGGAUUUAGAACAUGCAAGGAUAAGCUUGAUAUUCAAAACAUAAGUUCAAGGUGUGCAGAAUAACAAUUAGUAUGCAUUUGGAUUCAAACAAUCAUUAAAAAUUAUGGAAUUUUUUUCUAAAACAUGUAAGCACCUAUUGACUAAUUUAUUAGUGCCCAAACAACUAAAACAUUCCCUCUCCCAUUGUGUCAUGUAGCUCCAGAAAGAUUGGGAUGAAGUUCCAGCAACAGAUACGUAAAAACUUCAACCAAUCUUCCACAUUUUCUUGCUCUCUCAUAUCUCAACAAAAAGGAUUUUAGAGCAGUCCAGAACUUCAGGUACUUGCAUUUAAUACCUGUUUUAAGUUAUGCCUUAAAAACUAAAAUUUACCUGAUUUAUCUCAUUCUAAGAUACACGAUUUGGUCCCAGUUAAUCAAUCAUACAAAUUCUUUAUGUAUAGGUUUCAAUUUUUCAGAACUUGUGUUACAUCAAUCUCAUACUCAAGACAUAGGCAUGGUCAAACCAAGGAAACAGAACUCUCUUAGAGCUGCAACUAAAGGCCUACUGUAGAGUAAUUAUGGUGUUCUUUUUCAAACAACAGCUAUCAAAUUUAUGAAGUGAGAAAAAUGACGAGGGACUACAAUACUCUGAUUCAAUUUCUCAUAGAAGGUGUAAAAGUGAUGAUGAAAGAGAUCACAUGCCACUAUGGACUUAAGAGCAAAAGAAAAAGAGGUUGGCUACAAACAUACCCACUCAACUAGACUUUCCUCCCCCAAAGGCUGAGAUGCAUCCACAGACUUCCGUCCAGUAAUUAGCUCCAGAAGCACAACUCCAAAAGAAAAUACAUCGGAUUUUUCAGUCAGCUUUCCACUGGAUGCAUAUUCAGGGGCCAUGUAUCUAAAUCCAAACCAAGAAAUUAGAGUAAACAUGGCAGUAAAAAUAUGGCAGUAUAUUUUCUUAUGCUCCAUUUGAUGAAAAUACUGGAAGAGAUCCCUACCCAAACGUGCCCAUUACACGUGUUGUAACAUGACUUUUUGCAUCCUGAGCUAAUUUAGCUAAUCCAAAAUCAGCAACCUGUGAAAAGUGAAACGAUUGUAAAAGGCAGUCUACAAGAAAAACAAUGCAAAAUAAAGGAGUUUUAAGGAAUUAGACAUACCCGAGCAUCAAAGUUGUUAUCCAAAAGAAUGUUAGAUGACUUAAUAUCUCUGUGAAUGAUGCGAGGACAACCUGCCAUCACAACCAAUAGAAAUGAAUAAACCAAAAGAAGCAAGAACAAAUAUCAUAUUAGAAAUACUUAAACUCACUUCAAAGACUGAAUUUUGGGAACAUUUCAUGUCAUCUUUCAGCGAUACUUAUUUAGCUGAAGGCCAAUAAUAGGUCAAAUAACAAAACCAAACAGAAUAUGUAGUCGCAUAUCACACCAUUCUGGUAACUUUUCCAAGUCUGUUCAAUAUAUUUCUUAUAAGAUAGAAUUCAUUUGUGACUGAACAUAUACCACACCAUAACAGUCACCUUCCCGAGUAUGUUCAAUAUAAUUCUUAUAUGAUAGAAUUCAUUAGUGAGUGGCACUCCAAUCAUGUCAUAAGGAGAAAGCAUUUUAUUGUUUGUAUUUGCAUGCUUGCUGCUCAAGAUUGUUCAAGAUAUUUUAGUAAUUUCUCAACACAAAUAGGUGAUGCCUAAAUUGUGGUCAGUCAUUAGGUAAGUAUUUUAUCCUGUUCAUCCUGAGAAGAAAUCAAAUGAAGAAACAUGGACAACUCAUAAGGUAAGUAAGAGAACAGUAAUUACAAUCUUCAUGCAGAUAAGCUAUUCCACGGGCUGCACCAACAGCAAUCUUAACACGUGUUGCCCAAUCCAUAACAGGUCUUCCCUGCUCUGAAAAUUUGUAAAUUGCAAGUAUUAACAGCUAGCUUUAGUUACCAAAUGCCAAAAGUGAAUGUUAAAAUCUGAAAAGUUCCAUAUUUACCAUGGAGAUGGAAGUAAAGGGUGUCGUUGGAGACAUAGUCAUAUACAAGGAGCCUUCCAUUCUCAUAAAUGCAAUAACCUACAAGUGAAACCAAGUGUCGAUGAUGUAUUCGACUUAUGAUUUCAACUUCAGCUCUGAAUUCACGUUCCCCCUGGCUCCCAUAAAUAUUAAGCUUCUUUACUGCUAUAUCUCUCCCAUUUGCUAGGCAUCCCUUGUACACGGAACCAAAUCCACCCUCGCCCAAUAGAUUAUGCUCUGAAAAUUCAUUAGUAGCUUCAAGUAGUUCUUGAUAAGUAAACCAUGGCUUUGACUGACCUAAUCCACCAGUGUUUCCUGUUGUGUUCGCAAUAUUGGAUCCAGCUCCAUUUCCAAUCUCAGGUUUUGAUUCUCGAAACUUUAACGAGGCAGAACCUGAAUUGUAUUUCCACAUCUACUCAGAGUGCAUUUCAAAAGAUCUGAAUAACUUAUAGAUAACACAAAUGGUGCUUGCAGGACCUAAAACAUGGAUUAACACACUUAAACAAUGAUUUGACAGCAUCCAAACAAUACCUGAUUUUGGAGAGGAGAUCAGAGUUGUUGGCAAGAUAUAACCACCACUCAGGCCUGAAUCUUUUUUCUUUCGCUUGCAUAUGCACCAUCCUGCUGCUCCAACAAUACCAAGCAACAGAAACACAAGUAUGAUGCCAAUUGCAACGGACCCUCCAAUACCAAUGCCUCCAUCCCCUAUAUCCUUUGAUUUGACUGCUGAACUAUUACUGGAUGUAGUAGUGUUGCCUGAAGGAAAUGAUGGUGAAGGAGGAGUAAGAGAAGGUUGUGCACCAUUGGUGGAUUGAGGUGGUGAUGAGUUUGUAGGGGGUGAACUAGAAGAUGCUGAAUUAAUAGGAGGUAAUGCAUCUGGUGAAGGGGGUGAAUUUUUGGGAGGGACUAAGGCUGGGGAAUCUGGAGUAUUUCGUGGUGGCUUGGAUGGAGGUGCAUUUGCAGGUGGCUUGGAUGAUGGUGGUGACCUUUUAGGAGGUUCAGGAGAUGGAUUCCCCGGUGAUCGUGGUGCUGGAGGAGUUCUUGGAUUUUGCACAGGUGGUGGAGGUGACAAUGCAGGGGGGCGUAUUGAUGAAUGAGGAGGCGACAAUGCAGGGGGGUGCGUCGAUGGUGGUGGAGGUGAACUUGCAGGACGAGUUGGUUCUGGUUGAGGUGGUAAUGGGGGUGGACUACUUGGUGUGCUAGAUGAUGGAGAUUCUGUUGGACUAGCAGGUGGACUAGAAGAUGGAGGUGGUGUUAAGCUGCUAGCAGGUGGACCAGACGGUGUAGGCGGAGGACUAAUAAUUGGAGGAGCAGAUUCUGCAGGAGGUGUUGGAGUAGAAAUCGGUGGUUGUGGUUGUGGAGAUGAGGCUGGAGGAGGCAAUGUAAUAUUUGUUGGAGGAGGAGGGGAUUCUGGCAGUGGUGAUGUUGCUACAAGAGGAGCAGAUUGCGGAGAUGCAAUCGAAGAUGAGUUUUCAUUGGGCUGAUAUAUAGGUGCUGGAGAAUUCAAAGCAAUUGGUGGAGCUGCAAAUGGUGUAGAAGAACUUAGAGGGGGUGAAACAAUUGACAUCUCCAAUUCUCACCAGCACCAAAUACUAAUUAAAAUUUACACCAUUCAAUAAACACUACUAUCAAUAUCUGCAAACAUCAUUGAUAUGACAACAGUCCAAGAACUCUACUACUUUCUCUAUAAUCGAUAUUUCCAAAUCAAGAUCCCUAAUAACAACAACAACAAGAACAAGAACAAACCUAGUGCGUUCCCACGAGUGGAGUCUGCGCGAGGAUAGAGUGUACGUAGCAAAUCACUUCCUCUUAUUCUACAAUUAGCAUUCACAACAAUUCACCUCCACAAAACUUACAUCAAUUAAACUCCACUGUCUAAGUUAAAAACAAAAACAAGAUUCAAUCUUUCUCCACAAUACUCAAAACCUUGGCUUUAUAUCCUAAGUAGAACUCAGCUGCAAAUUUCAAACACUUUAUCAAACAAACCACCACAAGCUAACUAAAUUUACACCAUUCACUAUAUAGUAUCAAAAUCUCGACAACACUUGCUCAAAAAUUGAUUAUUUUUUUUCAAAUCAAGAUCCCCUUAGGCCUCUUUACUCUACAACUCACCUCCACAAAUACUUGCAGCAAUUACACUCCACUACCAAGCUAAAAACAAUAACAAAGAUUCAAUCUUUUCCCAAAAUAUGUUGGUUCAGACUGUAACCAGCCCUCAUCUGCUGAAACAAGCAACCAAUGAGGAAAAAAAAAAGAUACCCAAAUCACCAAAAAGAAUUAUCUCAAAACCCCAAGUACCCAAAAUGCAAGAUUUUCUAGUAGAUAAUAAAGAAGUUGUGCUUUCAAACGAAAACCCACUUUAAACAAAGGCCCAUAAAAUUGAUUCCAAUUGUCAAGAACAAAAAAGCAUGAGAAUUUUGAGCCAAUGUUGAAAUAACAGAAUGAAAAAAGCAACUUCUUUUGGUGACCUUAGAAAAAGAUUAAUGGAAAUGGGGUGUGAGAAAUCAUAGCAUGGUACUAACUACAACACCGAAAAUGACCUUAAUAAAGAAAAAAAAGAAGAGAAUUUUAAUAGUAGUAUGAACUGUAUGAGGGGAAUAUGUGUGUGUUUUGAGUAGUGUUGUCUUUUAGUCAUUGUUGGUUAUUUGGACUUGACAAUAUUAAAAUUGUUGUUGGAUUCUUAUAACGUCAAAUUCAGUGUAACAGAUUGGUCCAAGGUUGAGCAACGCACAUUAUUUUAGUACUACUUGGAGUAAAAUUCGACUCUAUCGAGUUCGAAAUCUAAGUUAUUAUUUUAGUAAAUAUUAAAAGAGACUUAGUGAAAGAAAAAUUAUUUUAUGUAAUAUUUAAGCGUUUUUCAACAAAUUAUUUUUAUAUCUGGUAAAGUGUAACUAUUUCUUAAGCUAUAUUAAGUGGGGAAAAAAUAUAUUUUACAAAAAAGAAUGUUUUUCUGUUUUUCUUACAAUUUAUUUUUUAAUUGUGUAUAGUAUCAUUAUUUUAAUUAUAUAUAGUAUUAUUAUUUUUGUGCAUGCAUUUUUUUUUGGAGAUUUUAAUUUAUAUAUAGUUAUUGUUUUUGUAAAUGUAUUUGUUUGUUUUUUUAGGAAAAGUGAAAGAAAAAUUCAUGUAUGUUUAUAAAGAACCUAAAAAAAAUUCUUCCUCGUAAAACAAGGUGUAAAAAAUAUAAUGUCGUCAUAUAUUAAUAUACAUGUUAUUAAACUAACAGAAAAUGUUUGAAAUAUUAUUGCAUAAAAAAGAAUUUUUUCUUUCAUUAAGUCUAUUUUCAUUACUUACUAGAAUAGUUAUUUAUCAUGGUCACUUUUAUCUAUUUUUAAAAACUAUUUAGAUUCCAAACUCAACUCUAUCCUCAUUAAGGUACUCCCUCCCUCCUUUUCUCAUUAAUUUUUAUAAUUUCAACUCUAAUUUAUAUUUUAAUAAUUUCAAUUCUAAUUUAUAUUUAAUCGAAUUUUAACAUAAAUAUUGAAUAUUAAAUAUCAAUAAGCAGAUGGUCACUUUCUCAAGAAACUUUGAGUGGACACGUAAAUGAUGAUCUUGGUUAGGUUAGUGCAAUAUAUGUGGUCUUUUAAGAAGCAUUUUCUCAAUGAAAAUAUUUGUAGGUUUACGUCUUAUCUGGUCUUAUAUGAUAUUACGGUUAAAAAUUAUUUAUUUUAAAAAAAUAAAAGAUAAUUUUUGAGAAAAAUAUUUUUUUAAAAAAAAUAAUUGUGUUUGAUUUAAUCAUUUAAAAGUGCUUUUGAUAAGCUGAAUAUGUUUACCAAUUUUUUGAAAAAAAUAUUUUUAAAAGUUAAAUUAUGAUAAUGUUAUAAAUUCAUUGAAUUGUGUGGAUUGUCCUUUAGAUAUACUCAAGACUUAAUUGUAUUCAUGUAUACAUGUUUCCAAGGUGAUGAGAACAAUUUGGAUAACUAUGUACCUACCAAUUGGGCAUUUAUCAUGGAGGCCUUUGGGAUGAUAUCUCAACUCUAUAAAUAGAGAUAUCAUUCACCUAUUGUAGAACACACUUGAAUAAGAAGAAAGUCUUAUCUUGCAUUUUACUUCUCUUGUCUUCAUCUCUUUAUAUUUAUAUUGUCAUGAGCUUGAUUUUAUAACACGUUAUCAGCACGAGUCUUUAUCUAAUUGAGAGUGAGUUCUUGUUUUUCUUUAGCUCAUAUUUUGGUUGAUCUCGUUAUGAAGAUCAAAGUAUUAUAUGCAUAAAAUCAUGUAUGUAUUUUCUAAAAUAUUUUUAUGAUUUAGAAUAAAAAUAGUAUUCAGUCACUAACAAUUAUCAUGAACUGAAGACAUAUACUAUUAUUGGUUGAAUAUGACAUGCUAUACAAAACUUCUUAAAUUGAAGAAGAAUAAAAUUUUAAUAGCAUGAGUUUGAAUAUUAUUUAGAUUGUUUUGAAAGACUCAAAGAAUAAAUCAUGUUGUACUUCGGUUUAUUAUACCGUUGGUUAAGGGUAAGACGAUGGAUUCAAGUUUCAUCGCACCAAAAGGGUAAGACAUCAGGUUAAAGUCCGGAUGCACCAUAAUGAAAAAUAUUUGAGGAUAAGACGAUAGAUUCAAGUUCUAUCGCACCAAAAGGGUAAGACAUCAAUUAGAUUUUUGAUGCACCGUGAUUGGGUUCAAGACCAUAGAAUUAUGGCGUAACACGCCUUAUAUGGGUAAGACAUUGAGUUUGAGCCAAUGCACCAUAGCGAUGAUAAAUUGAUGACUAAGAAAAAUAUUAUAUUUUUGAUGAAAUGUCUUGAAAUUCAUGAUAUUGAAUUUGCUCCAUUCCUUGAAAAGAAUGUGGUAGCAACAUGUGAUAACUCUGAAAUCCGUCUGUUGACUUGCUCCAUUCAAUCAUAUGAAUGUGGUAGCAGUGAAUGAUUAGUCUGAAAGAUGACAAAUAAUUAAUGAUAUGAAUAAGGGUGUGGAAGGACAGAAUUAUAAUAGUCAUCAUUGUGGUAAUGAUAAAAGGAAGAACAAUAUGAGUUCUUCAAAUAGUCCUUCAAAAUGUGAAGACAAUUUUUAUUAUGAAAAUGGUAUGAAAAGUCAUUAGACUUGUGAAUGUUGUCAACCCAAUAACUUGACAAGUUUAUAAAUCCUCUAUCAUGAUAUAAGAAGAUAAAGUGAUGGUACACUUGAUCUUUCAAAGUGAUGUUGAGGUGUGUCAUGGAAAUAUGAUGAAUUUUAAAGCCAUGACAAUGUGCUUAUAAUGCAAAUUUAUAAAGUACAUAUAAAUAAUUAGUCCAAUCCUUGAAGAGAAUGUGACUUGUAAUGAGUAUCGUGAAUGCUCGACCAUUCUAUAAGAGAAUGGGUCCAAACGUGAUAAAAUCAUUAUGGGUUGGAUAUAUGUCACAACUCACCUCUAUAGAAGGUUUGAGAAAAAAAAUGAUACAUGUCACUUCUCAUCUCUACGGGAGAUUUGAGAGGAAAUAAAUUUUAUUUGGUAGAAAUGGCUAAUUGUAUUGUAUGUUUUAUACGUCACUAUGAUAUAAACUACCGAAAGGGCAAAAGAAAGAAAUAGUUCUUGCCUAUAAGGGUUGUGGUCAUUAUUGCGUGGCAAUACAAAUUUGUCAUUGGUUGUGUACCUAUGGUACAACAAAAGUAAAGCAAGAAAGACGUCUUGCUCGUAAUGAUUUUGACCAUGACAAUAAUAAUAUAAUUUCCUCCUUGAAGGAGAUGCUCACCAUAGGGAUGGUGUCAUGCAAUAUGUCAUAGUACAC
rnacentral:lncRNA from 1 species